UACGGGGGGGGCAAGCGUUGUUCGGAAUUACUGGGCGUAAAGGGCUCGUAGGUGGCCAACUAAGUCAGACGUGAAAUCCCUCAGCUUAACUGGGGAACUGCGUCUGAUACUGGAUGGCUUGAGUUUGGGAGAGGGAUGCGGAAUUCCAGGUGUAGCGGUGAAAUGCGUAGAUAUCGGGAGGAAUACCAGCGGCGAAGGCGGCCUUCUGGACGGUGACUGACGCUGAGACGCGAAAGCGUGGGGAGCAAACAGGG
rnacentral:rRNA from 1 species